AGGACAUAAAACAAUCUAGAUGUAACAUAAAUAUCAAUUUUGAGAUAUGACAUAGUAUUUUCAUAUUCAUUAAAAAAAUCCUGUUCUUUUUCAAAGCUUUCUCACAAAAAAAAAAACCCAAAGCGUUUCUCUGUGAAAUGUGUACAGAGCACUGAGCGUAUGCCGAGCUAUUUAUUUUCAAGCCUUUUACAUUUUAAUUCAGUUCGUGUCAAAUUUGGCUGUUUUUUUUUUUUUUGUGUCACACGCGGAAACAACUUUGAAGACGACGACAACAAAAUGUAAAAUCCUCAAAAGUUGUUAGGAGAAACGUGCACUGCAACGUCAACAGAGCCAGGUGGUUAUCAUCAGAUGUUAGGUUACAAAAAAAAUCCUACUUUCUGAUAUAAUGUUAAGGAUAUGUUAAAGAAAACCCCCACUGAACGAGUCAGAACAUAAAUAAUCGUAUUUGUCUCUGUAAAAUGUAUUAUAAAACAUAAGAAAGUGAAACUUCAUCCCCAAAGGGUGUUUUGGACACCCUAAUAUUAGUUUGGUCUCUACAUUCGCUAAUCCUUUGGCUGGUCGGUGGGACAGAACGCUUCUAUAGGACAGCCUGUCUACGGUAUCAGGGUCAUGUUCAUUAGUGCACAACGUAGCAAAACGUUAAACACACGGAAAGCGUUCAGCAACAAAAAUGAGUNNNNNNNNNNUAGCAUUAGCCUCUGAUUUAGUGCAAGCCUAGAUCAUUAGCAUUAGCAUUGACUUAGUGCAAGCCUAGAUCAUUAGCAUUGACUUAGUGCAAGCCUAGAUCAUUAGCAUUAGCAUUGACUUAGUGCAAGCCUCGAUCAUUAGCAUUGAUUUUGUGCAAGCCUAGAUCAUUAGCAUUAGCAUUGACUUAGUACAGAAUUAGCACUGGAUCAUUACCACUGUACCACUGUCAACUACACUUGUUGCUUGCCUGCUCAGGAAUGUCACAUUCUUCAUAGCUACUGUAGGUAUGAGGAAAACUGAUUCAUCCAACCAGACACAGAAAAACGUGUACUUAUUCGUUUUAUGACCUGCUAUUAAACUAAGCUGUCUAAGUUUAAGCGCGUCUGUGUUUGAGUAACUGGUUUAGAAACAUUGCUGUAGGCUCCUAUGGAUCUCAAAAUGGCCCCCUAUUUCUCUAUAUAGUGCACUACUUUUGGCAAAAGCCCGUUGAGUGUUGACUAGACUAACCUUGGCUGUUGGUCUCUCUUCUUUCCGGAGUGCAGCAGCUUCCAGUUUGGCCUCAUAUUCUGCCUGGACGUUGUCCCUCUUCUUCAGAACAGCCUG
rnacentral:lncRNA from 13 species